CAACGAAAUAAAUCCCUUCGGAAUUUGUGAAAUUGCCCUUCGGGCAGUGAAAUGUUGCUGCGCAACGUGAAAUACCUG
rnacentral:sRNA from 10 species